rnacentral:tmRNA from 1 species
GGGGCCGAACUGGCUUUGACAGCAAGAUGAUUUGCUGGGCAAGCAUGCCGAGCUUUUUGUGUUUUGGCUCGUUAAUCUCAGGGCACAAGUCAGAAAUGACAACACUUCUUUCGCACUCGCUGCCUAAUCGACCAAGUCGAUAAGCUUAAUUCUAUCCCGUAGCGGGAUAGAACGGGUUGUCUCUUUCAGUGGUUACGUUCCUAUCCACUGAUUUAUGAGACAUCAUCAAAUGGAACUAGCGAGGAUAAAGUCUGGCAUUCCAAGCGAAAUUUAACAGACUAAGGGAACUGUAGGUCGGUGUUUGCCGGCAGUUCUUCGAAAAAUCAAGUAACGCCUAAGCAUGUAGAAAACUUAGUUUGUCCUUGUUUGGACGCGGGUUCGACUCCCGCCGGCUCCACAA